AACGAACGCUGGCGGCAUGCCUAACACAUGCAAGUCGAACGAGACCUUCGGGUCUAGUGGCGCACGGGUGCGUAACGCGUGGGAACCUGCCCUUAGGUUCUGAAUAACUCCCCGAAAGGGGUGCUAAUACCGGAUAAUGUCUUCGGACCAAAGAUUUAUCGCCUUUGGAUGGGCCCGCGUUGGAUUAGCUAGUUGGUAGGGUAAAAGCCUACCAAGGCGACGAUCCAUAGCUGGUCUGAGAGGAUGAUCAGCCACACUGGGACUGAGACACGGCCCAGACUCCUACGGGAGGCAGCAGUGGGGAAUAUUGGACAAUGGGCGAAAGCCUGAUCCAGCAAGGCCGCGUGAGUGAUGAAGGCCUUAGGGUUGUAAAGCUCUUUUACCCGGGAUGAUAAUGACAGUACCGGGAGAAUAAGCGCCGGCUAACUCCGUG
rnacentral:rRNA from 1 species